GUACUCGCUUUGGCAGUACAUAUACUGUAAAAUUGGAAUGAGGCAGAGAUUUUCAUGGGCCCUGCACAAGGGGUGACAUGCAGAAACGAGGGGGAGAGUGUCAAGAAGCGAUUUU
rnacentral:snRNA from 1 species